GAAAUGCGAUAAGUAAUGUGAAUUGCAGAAUUCCGUGAAUCAUCGAAUCUUUGAACGCACAUUGCGCCCUCUGGUAUUCCGGGGGGCAUGCCUGUCCGAGCGUCAUUGCGAACCCCUCAAGCACGGCUUGUGUGAUGGGCCCUCCCGCGUCUUGGUCGUCAAGACGGGCCCGAAAUGCAGUGGCGGCUUCGCGGUUAUCCGAUCAGCCAGAGCGUAUGGGGACUUUCUCUCUGUCACACGCCCGCGGCGCGGACCGACGCCUGUCGACCUUUAUUCAUCUUUUUCUUGGUUGACCUCGGAUCAGGUAGGGAUACCCGCUGAACUUAAGC
rnacentral:misc_RNA from 1 species